rnacentral:rRNA from 1 species
AGAGUUUGAUCCUGGCUCAGGAUGAACGCUGGCGGCGUGCCUAACACAUGCAAGUCGAGCGAUUCUCUUCGGAGAAGAGCGGCGGACGGGUGAGUAACGCGUGGGUAACCUGCCCUGUACACACGGAUAACAUACCGAAAGGUAUGCUAAUACGAGAUAAUAUGCUUUUAUCGCAUGGUAGAAGUAUCAAAGCUUUUGCGGUACAGGAUGGACCCGCGUCUGAUUAGCUAGUUGGUAAGGUAACGGCUUACCAAGGCGACGAUCAGUAGCCGACCUGAGAGGGUGAUCGGCCACAUUGGAACUGAGACACGGUCCAAACUCCUACGGGAGGCAGCAGUGGGGAAUAUUGCACAAUGGGCGAAAGCCUGAUGCAGCGACGCCGCGUGAAGGAUGAAGUAUUUCGGUAUGUAAACUUCUAUCAGCAGGGAAGAAAAUGACGGUACCUGACUAAGAAGCCCCGGCUAACUACGUGCCAGCAGCCGCGGUAAUACGUAGGGGGCUAGCGUUAUCCGGAUUUACUGGGCGUAAAGGGUGCGUAGGCGGUCUUUUAAGUCAGGAGUGAAAGGCUACGGCUCAACCGUAGUAAGCUCUUGAAACUGGAGGACUUGAGUGCAGGAGAGGAGAGUGGAAUUCCUAGUGUAGCGGUGAAAUGCGUAGAUAUUAGGAGGAACACCAGUAGCGAAGGCGGCUCUCUGGACUGUAACUGACGCUGAGGCACGAAAGCGUGGGGAGCAAACAGGAUUAGAUACCCUGGUAGUCCACGC